CGUCGCGUGUCGUCACCAGUCAUGACCUCUGGGAGGAGCACAGAGAGGCGGAGAAACGAAGUCAGAAGACAGAUUAAAACCAACAUCUGAAGUGUUGCCUCGGUUUGUCAGUACUUUGAGAAAACUUAAUUACCGAAGAGGCCUGGAUGCUAAAACAAACUUUCGAGCUGCUUUUUUGUCGAACACGAGUGAGGCUGGACGCUGAAUACACCCGCGGCGCGAAGGUGUCACCACUUUGUCCACAACAUUGUCCACAAUUGCAGAGACAUGGUCCAUGACUCACAAAGAUGUGCAAAACCAGGACUGAGUCUGCCAGCAGAGACGUACUCCACAAUCGCAGAGAUGUUGUCCACAAUCACGGAGUAUCGAUGAAGUUCUUUGAGAC